UACGGAGGAUUCAAGCGUUAUCCGGAUUUAUUGGGUUUAAAGGGUGCGUAGGCGGUCGGAUAAGUUAGAGGUGAAAUCCCGGGGCUCAACUUCGGAAUUGCCUCUGAUACUGUUCGGCUAGAGAGUAGUUGCGGUAGGCGGAAUGUAUGGUGUAGCGGUGAAAUGCUUAGAGAUCAUACAGAACACCGAUUGCGAUGGCAGCUUACCAAGCUACUUCUGACGUUGAGGCACGAAAGCGUGGGGAGCAAACAGG
rnacentral:rRNA from 1 species